UCCGGCUCGAAGUCCACCGCUUCCGCAUCCGCGUUAGCCAUUCUCCCUCUAUUACUCUCUCAGUAUAUGCGUAUGCAGGGUAUGACCGUGGCGUGACGGAAUUGGGGGGAAUUUUUUAAAGUGCUCCCGCAAGAGAAAUCAGUAUGAUUUGAAGACCAGCAUUCAUAUCGAGUACUCCUAGCGAUGGCAACGAUACAGUAUUUGCGGU
rnacentral:misc_RNA from 1 species